rnacentral:rRNA from 1 species
GGAUUAAGAGCUUGCUCUUAUGAAGUUAGCGGCGGACGGGUGAGUAACACGUGGGUAACCUGCCCAUAAGACUGGGAUAACUCCGGGAAACCGGGGCUAAUACCGGAUAACAUUUUGAACCGCAUGGUUCGAAAUUGAAAGGCGGCUUCGGCUGUCACUUAUGGAUGGACCCGCGUCGCAUUAGCUAGUUGGUGAGGUAACGGCUCACCAAGGCAACGAUGCGUAGCCGACCUGAGAGGGUGAUCGGCCACACUGGGACUGAGACACGGCCCAGACUCCUACGGGAGGCAGCAGUAGGGAAUCUUCCGCAAUGGACGAAAGUCUGACGGAGCAACGCCGCGUGAGUGAUGAAGGCUUUCGGGUCGUAAAACUCUGUUGUUAGGGAAGAACAAGUGCUAGUUGAAUAAGCUGGCACCUUGACGGUACCUAACCAGAAAGCCACGGCUAACUACGUGCCAGCAGCCGCGGUAAUACGUAGGUGGCAAGCGUUAUCCGGAAUUAUUGGGCGUAAAGCGCGCGCAGGUGGUUUCUUAAGUCUGAUGUGAAAGCCCACGGCUCAACCGUGGAGGGUCAUUGGAAACUGGGAGACUUGAGUGCAGAAGAGGAAAGUGGAAUUCCAUGUGUAGCGGUGAAAUGCGUAGAGAUAUGGAGGAACACCAGUGGCGAAGGCGACUUUCUGGUCUGUAACUGACACUGAGGCGCGAAAGCGUGGGGAGCAACAGGAUUAGAUACGCUGGUAGUCCACGCCGUAAACGAUGAGUGCUAAGUGUUAGAGGGUUUCCGCCCUUUAGUGCUGAAGUUAACGCAUUAAGCACUCCGCCUGGGGGAGAACGGCCGCAAGGCUGAAACUCAAAGGAAUUGACG